rnacentral:rRNA from 1 species
GCGGCCUAUCAGCUUGUUGGUGGGGUAAUGGCUCACCAAGGCGACGACGGGUAGCCGGCCUGAGAGGGCGACCGGCCACACUGGGACUGAGACACGGCCCAGACUCCUACGGGAGGCAGCAGUGGGGAAUAUUGGGCAAUGGAGGAAACUCUGACCCAGCGACGCCGCGUGCGGGAUGAAGGCCUUCGGGUUGUAAACCUCUUUCAGUAGGGAAGAAGCGAAAGUGACGGUACCUAAAGAAGAAGCACCGGCUAACUAUGAGCCAGCAGCCGCGGUAAUACAUAGGGUGCAAGCGUUGUCCGGAGUUAUUGGGCGUAAAGAGCUCGUAGGUGGUUCGUCACGUCGGAUGUGAAAAUCUGGGGCUUAACCCCAGACCUGCAUUCGAUACGGGCGAGCUAGAGUGUGGUAGGGGAGACUGGAAUUCCU